rnacentral:rRNA from 1 species
AGAGUUUGAUCAUGGCUCAGAACGUACGCUGGCGGCACGCCUAACACAUGCAAGUCGAACGAAGUAGCAAUACUUAGUGGCAGACGGGUGAGUAACAUGUAGGUAUCUGCCCUUUGGCCUGGAAUAACACGAGGAAACUUGUGCUAAUACCGGAUAAGUCUUUACGGAGAAAGCUUUAUGCACCAUUGGAUGAGCCUGCACUUGAUUAGUUUGUUGGUAGGGUAAUGGCCUACCAAGACUGUGAUCAAUAGCUGAUUUGAGAGGAUGAUCAGCCACAUUGGGACUGAGACACGGCCCAAACUCCUACGGGAGGCAGCAGUGGGGAAUCUUGCACAAUGGAGGAAACUCUGAUGCAGCGAUGCCGCGUGAGUGAAGAAGGCCUUUGGGUUGUAAAGCUCUUUCGUCGGGGACGAAAAUGACUGUACCCCAAUAAGAAGGUCCGGCUAACUUCGUGCCAGCAGCCGCGGUAAUACGAAGGGACCUAGCGUAGUUCGGAAUUACUGGGCUUAAAGAGUUCGUAGGUGGUUGAAAAAGUUGGUGGUGAAAUCCCAGAGCUUAACUCUGGAACUGCCAUCAAAACUUUUCAGCUAGAGUAUGAUAGAGGAAAGCAGAAUUUCUAGUGUAGAGGUGAAAUUCGUAGAUAUUAGAAAGAAUACCAAUUGCGAAGGCAGCUUUCUGGAUCAUUACUGACACUGAGGAACGAAAGCAUGGGUAGCGAAGAGGAUUAGAUACCCUCGUAGUCCAUGCCGUAAACGAUGUGUGUUAGACGUUGGAAAUUUAUUUUCAGUGUCGCAGCGAAAGCGAUAAACACACCGCCUGGGGAGUACGACCGCAAGGUUAAAACUCAAAUGAAUUGACGGGGACCCGCACA